UACGCAUUACAUCAAGCUUCUGAGCAUUUGGAGGAAACCAAGGAUAGAAAAGUCCAGGCCUCCUCAUGGGAAUAGAACAUGGGGUAUGAAGACUUGCAUGGUCAUCCUAUGGACUGAAAUAGCAAGGUCUGCUGGAGUGAUGAAUAACCCCUCCCUACCAAGAAGGAGAUAACGAAGUUGUUUAAACACAGAUGUUCCAGGGUUGAGUGAAGAGCCAAAGAGGUGGCAUCUAUGGAAGACCUGUUGCUGUGGUUGGCAAGCUGAGUGGAUCCAAGUCACUUCUCAGACAGGAGUUCAUAUGUUUCAUCACCAACUUCUCAAAACACUUCAUCACUGUUCAUAUUUCCAGCAUCUACGUGUUUUUGACUGUCAUUAUCUAUUUUGUAAGUUCGUUGAACCAAGCUUCCUGAGUAGAGGGUUAAUAAGAAUCAGACGGGCUGCC